UAACCAGAAUUCGAGUUAUCGCGGUAAAUUUUUAUCAAAGGAAACGAAAUUUAGUUCGAGUUAGCGGGGAAUUCGAGUUAUCCGAGUUCGAGUUAACCAAGUUAAAAUGACUGAAAAGUGGGGUCAAAUCCGAGGGAAAUGGGACCUGGUUCGAGUUAAUUAGCGGGGAAAUUCGAGUUAUUCGAGUUCGAGUUACCGGGGUUCUACUGUGAUAGUUUUCGCCCCAGUAAUAGUAAAAAUCUAAAAUAUAUGAAUAACAACCCCGAUUAACAACAAGACCUCGUUAUGGCGAACAUAUUUUUUAUGAUUGAUUGUGCCAGCCACUUGGGCCCUUCGUUAUAUCGAGAUAGUCACUGAUAUAACACCGCGCAGGAAACGUGAGGGACUGGAAACAGCUUCUCAAAUGAUCAAAACAUUCCUGUGCACCGCCGGUCGUGAGUUAUGAUGUGUGCUCCAACUGACUUCUCAGUGAAUAACUGAACUGAUCUUCCCGUUUAGAACACAAGAGUCUCGACUUAUUCAUCGGCAAGUCUUUUCCAGGAUAACUGGUUGACUAAUACGUUCUGAAAGAACCUGGCUCAGAAGCAUCAAAUAACCAAAGCGGUCCGGCUCAAAGGUAAUCCGCUCAUUGCAUGAGCAGCGCACUAGAGGGAUGACAGAG